GCGAGAGUGGCGGAAUGGCAGACGCGCAAGGCUCAGGACCUUGUGAGGGCAACCUCGUGGGGGUUCAAGUCCCCCCUCUCGCACCA
rnacentral:tRNA from 1 species